ACGACAUCUUCUCGGAGCUGGUGGCUAAGGAGUACAUCCGGCAGAACAACGGCAAGAAGCGGAAAGUGACGGCCGUGCAGCUGGGCUACGAGGCGCGAUGUGCCAAGCCCCACGCGUUCGACGUGAUGUUGGGCAGCCAGCUGGGCGUGGGCGCCUAUCGGGCCUUGGUAGAAAAGCGGCUCAACGGCGUGAUGGUGUCCGCUUCGGGCCAGCUCAAGCUGGAGUACGUGCCGUUCUCUGAUCUGGUCGAUCCCGAAACGCUGGUAACAAUCGUCCGCUACAUCGAGCUGGGCAGCGAUUUCCAUCGCCUGACACGGUUUUUGGAAACCAGCGUUGGAACCGCCGGGCCGGGAAGCGCGCUGUAGCGUCUUUUCGCCUUCAGAAUCGUGGCGAGCGGGGGACGUAAGUCCCCUGCCACUCGCAUCGGCGGCCAUGUCGACGAAGAAGGCAGGGGGCUCACGUCCCCCGCUCGCCUGCGGUUUUGGGAGGCGAUGCUUCGUUGCGGUAGCCUCGCGAAGUGCGCGCUGCUAAAGUCAAGCUUCCCGCCUUGCAUCCCUCCCGCCUCGCCGAAAAGACGCGCUUCGAUGU
rnacentral:misc_RNA from 1 species